rnacentral:rRNA from 1 species
UCAAUAAGCGGAGGAAAAGAAACCAACAGGGAUUGCCCUAGUAACGGCGAGUGAAGCGGCAACAGCUCAAAUUUGAAAUCUGGCCUCGGCCCGAGUUGUAAUUUGCAGAGGAUGCUUUUGGUGCGGUGCCUUCCGAGUUCCCUGGAACGGGACGCCACAGAGGGUGAGAGCCCCGUAUGGUCGGACACCAAUCCUGUGUAAAGCUCCUUCGACGAGUCGAGUAGUUUGGGAAUGCUGCUCUAAAUGGGAGGUAAAUCUCUUCUAAAGCUAAAUACCGGCCAGAGACCGAUAGCGCACAAGUAGAGUGAUCGAAAGAUGAAAAGCACCUUGAAAAGGGGGUUAAACAGUACGUGAAAUUGUUGAAAGGGAAGCACUUGUGACCAGACUUGGGCCGGGCGGCUCAUCAGGGGUUCUCCCCUGUGCAUUCCGCCCGGUACAGGCCAGCAUCGGUUCUUACCGGGGGAUAAGAACGGCAGGAACGUGGCUCCCUCUCGGGGGAGUGUUAUAGCCUGCCGUACGAUACCCUGGCGGGGACCGAGGUUCGCGCUUCCGCAAGGAUGCUGGCGUAAUGGUUACUAGUGACCCGUCUUGAAACACGGACCAAGGAGUCGUCCAUUAGAGCGAGCGUUUGGGUGUAAAACCCGCACGCGUAAUGAAAGUGAAAUUAGGUGAGAGCUUCGGCGCAUCAUCGACCGAUCCUGAUGUUCUCGGAUGGAUUUGAGUAAGAGUUUUAACGGACGGACCCGAAAGACAGUGAACUAUGCUUGUAUAGGGUGAAGCCAGAGGAAACUCUGGUGGAGGCUCGCAGCGGUUCUGACGUGCAAAUCGAUCGUCAAAUAUGAGCAUGGGGGCGAAAGACUAAUCGAACUGUCUAGUA